UUACAAUAUGAAAACAUGUAAAUAGAGGCUUAUAUGAUGAUAUAUCUUACAGACAGGUCAUCUUUUAUUCUGUGACAAUGAAUAGGCCAGAGUCAAAUCCUGCGAUUAACUGUAACGUGAUUUCUGAAUAGAUACGUUAAUGUGAGGUGUGAAGCCUUGGAUAAAAUGCAAAACAACAGCUGAAAGAUGUCACUAUUUAUCAUUAUGGAAAUCUGACGGACCCUCGCUGUGACUGUGACAGUUUGGGUGAAAAAUAAAUAACUAAACAGGAGAGAACGGAGUAGUAGGUUUUAAAGUGCGGUUCUAAAUUGGUAAAAGAGGCAUGACGUUUCCUUUGCCUUGGGCAAUUGGCCUGGGUACACUGCAGGUGCUUCAAGGCUAAAUUUUCCCGUGGUAUCCACUUGUGUUCUGUGUACCCAGUUGUCUCUACGUCAGCUCUCGCAGUUAUUAAGAGGUACCCAAACACAUGCCCAUGUCCACAUGUCCAAUCUAAACUCAUGCAGAGCGCUCGGAGGCUAAAAUCAUGGAUGGACAGGGAUUGGGAUAACAGGUGAAAAUGCACUAACCUAAGCCAGGGAGAACAUCUGCCCUUCUUUCCCUCUGUGUACUGUGGUUCCUCUUGUGUUGGUGUCUAGCACCUAUACGUGGCUUUACAGCAGAGGGAUAUGUAAGCUGGAAUGUCCAUCACACCAAAAGCAGAAUAGUUUGAACAGUAAGCUUGUUUACCAGAGGAGCCACCGUGCUGUAUCUCAGACUUUUAAAAGCACCAUCUGCAGGACUCUUCAGUGGCGAGCAUGGAGCAUCCAUCUGCAAGAGAAAAAACAAAAGACUUCAAUAAGAGGUUAUAAUCAUUACAGGAUUGUCCUGUAAUCAAUUUUUGAUGUGUUUUUGACACAAUUGCAAGAUGUCAAUUCGAUGUUAUUAAAUUGGAAUAGAAAAUUAAAUGUAAAUUUGGAAUUGAA